CAGAAAACAUGAUGGAGUGGUGCAGUAUUCUAGUCAGCCCUCCGGUUCUGAAGGCGGGCCUAAAAAUCCGCUAAAGGGCACAUCGAUGAAGUUCCUGGUGUUGGCUUGAGGCGCCCAGCCUUGGGUUGAUGCUGGGGGUUAAGGUUAGAGGGCGAUCCACAAUGGCAUGUGGGCGUUGACCCUCUUUCCGCGGAGGCCCAUUUUAUGUGCAAAAUGGGUAUGAACCUGUCUACGCGCUUCAUAGUGCAAUGAGGCGCGGACAGCGUAGCCUGCCUUGAGUGGAGGCCGAGGGGAUUAUGGAAACAAGGAACUUUUUCAUAUGGCCAAUGAAAGAGUUUCUUAUGUGACAUAUGAAAUCGGCUCUGCAAAAGAGGCUAGGAACCGGCUAAAGGCUGUUUGAGGAAAACUCCUAGACUGUUCACAUGACAUAUAUAGAGGAUUGUAGUACGGACUAAGUGGCAAUCCAGUCUAGCGUUUGGCGACAGCGCUAAGUCAGGUUUAAAGGGAAACCGCCGGGGCGGCAACGCCUGGUACUUGACUGGGAAAACCUACUGGACCUAAGCCGUAAUGUUUACUCUAUAUAUGACCACUCCAUUUCGUUAUAUA
rnacentral:sRNA from 1 species